AACGAACGCUGGCGGCAGGCUUAACACAUGCAAGUCGAACGCCCCGCAAGGGGAGUGGCCGGCGGGUGAGUAACGCGUGGGAACAUACCCUUUUCUACGGAAUAGCUCUGGGAAACUGGAAUUAAUACCGUAUACGCCCUACGGGGGAAAGAUUUAUCGGGGAAGGAUUGGCGCGCGUUGGAUUAGCUGGUGGGUGGGGUAAAGGCAUAGCAAGGCGACGAUCCAUAGCUGGUCUGAGAGGAUGAUCAGCCACAUUGGGACUGAGACACGGCCCAAACUCCGACGGGAGGCAGCAGUGGGGAAUAUUGGACAAUGGGCGCAAGCCUGAUCCAGCCAUGCCGCGUGAGUGAUGAAGGCCUUAGGGUUGUAAAGCUCUUUCACCGAUGAAGAUAAUGACGGUAGUCGGAGAAGAAGCCCCGGCUAACUUCGUG
rnacentral:rRNA from 1 species